rnacentral:rRNA from 1 species
CCUACGGGAGGCAGCAGUGGGGAAUAUUGCACAAUGGGGGAAACUCUGAUGCAGCAACGCCGCGUGAAGGAAGAAGGUUUUCGGAUUGUAAACCUCUGUUCUUAGUGAAGAAUAAUGCCGUUAGCGAAGGAGCAAGCCCCGGCUAACUACGUGCCAGCAGCCGCGGUAAUACGUAGGUGGCAAGCGUUGUCCGGAAUUACGGGGUGUAAGGGGAGGGCAGGCGGGAAGCCAAGUCAGCUGGGAAACCUACGGGUUUAACAUGGGGAUUGUAGUUGAAACGGGUUUUCUGGAGUGAAGUAGAGGUUGGCGGAAUUCCGAGUGUAGCGGGGAAAGGCGUAGAUAUUCGGAGGAACACCGGUGGGGAAGGCGGCCAACUGGGCUUUAACUGACG